GACGAACGCUGGCGGCGUGCUUAACACAUGCAAGUCGAACGGUAAGGCCCUUCGGGGUACACGAGUGGCGAACGGGUGAGUAACACGUGGGUGAUCUGCCCUGCACUUCGGGAUAAGCCUGGGAAACUGGGUCUAAUACCGGAUAGGACCACUGCCUGCAUGGGUGGUGGUGGAAAGCUUUUGCGGUGUGGGAUGGGCCCGCGGCCUAUCAGCUUGUUGGUGGGGUGAUGGCCUACCAAGGCGACGACGGGUAGCCGGCCUGGGAGGGUGACCGGCCAGACUGAGACGGAGAUACGGCCCAGACUCCUACGGGAGGCAGCAGUGGGGAAUAUUGCACAAUGGGCGCAAGCCUGAUGCAGCGACGCCGCGUGAGGGAUGACGGCCUUCGGGUUGUAAACCUCUUUCAGCACCGACGAAGCGCAAGUGACGGUAGGUGCAGAAGAAGGACCGGCCAACUACGUGCCAGCAGCCGCAGUAA
rnacentral:rRNA from 1 species